UCCUACGGGAGGCAGCAGUGAGGAAUAUUGGUCAAUGGCCGGAAGGCUGAACCAGCCAAGUAGCGUGCAGGAUGACUGCCUUAUGGGUUGUAAACUGCUUUUUUACGGGAAUAAUUAUGAUCACGUGUGAUUAUUUGCAUGUACCGUAAGAAUAAGGAUCGGCUAACUCCGUGCCAGCAGCCGCGGUAAUACGGAGGAUCCUAGUGUUAUCCGGAUUUAUUGGGUUUAAAGGGAGCGUAGGCGGGAGGUCAAGUCAGCUGUGAAAUGUAUCUGCUUAACGGGUACACUGCAGUUGAAACUGGUUUUCUUGAGUGCGUAAGAGGCAGGCGGAAUUCGUUGUGUAGCGGUGAAAUGCUUAGAUAUGACGAGGAACUCCUAUUGCGAAGGCAGCUUGCUGGGUCGUUACUGACGCUGAUGCUCGAAGGUGCGGGGAUCAAACAGGAUUAGAUACCCUGGUAGUCCGCACAGUAAACUAUGGAUACUCUCUGCCGGCGAUAUAUUGUCGGUGGCCAAGCGAAAGCGUUAAGUAUCCCACCUGGGGAGUACGUUCGCAAGAAUGAAACUCAAAGGAAUUGACGGGGGCCCGCACAAGCGGAGGAACAUGUGGUUUAAUUCGAUGAUACGCGAGGAACCUUACCCGGGUUUGAAUUGCUGAUGGCGAUAAUUGGAGACAGUUAUUUCCCUUUUAGGGCGUCAGUGAGGGUGCUGCAUGGUUGUCGUCAGCUCGUGCCGUGAGGUGUCGGCUUAAGUGCCAUAACGAGCGCAACCCUUGCCGUUAGUUGCCAUCGGGUCAUGCCGGGCACUCUAUUGGGACUGCCAUCGUAAGAUGUGAGGAAGGUGGGGAUGACGUCAAAUCAGCACGGCCCUUAUGUCCGGGGCGACACACGUGUUACAAUGGGGGGUACAGUGGGAAGCUACCUGGCGACAGGUUGCGGAUCCCCAAAUCCUUUCUCAGUUCGGAUCGGAGUCUGUAACUCGACUCCGUGAAGUUGGAUUCGCUAGUAAUCGCGCAUCAGCUACGGCGCGGUGAAUACGUUCCCGGGCCUUGUACACACCGCCCGUCAAGCCAUGGAAGUUUGGGGUGCCUGAAGUCUGUAACCGUAAGGAGCGGCCUAGGGCAAAACAGAUGACUGGGGCUAAGUCGUAACAAGGUAACCA
rnacentral:rRNA from 1 species